rnacentral:rRNA from 1 species
GAUCCUGGCUCAGGAUGAACGUUGGCGGCGUGCCUAACACAUGCAAGUCGAGCGAGAAAUCUUGGAAUGAGACUUCGGUUAAGUGAAGAGAUGGAAAGCGGCGGACGGGUGAGUAACGCGUAGGCAACCUGCCUUAUGCAGAGGGAUAGCCAUUGGAAACGAUGAUUAAAACCUCAUGAUGCCAUUUUAUCACAUGGUGAGAUGGUCAAAGAUUUAUCGGCAUAAGAUGGG